rnacentral:misc_RNA from 1 species
GAUGAAGAACGUAGCGAAUUGCGAUACGUAAUGUGAAUUGCAGAUUUUCAGUGAAUCAUCGAAUCUUUGAACGCAUAUUGCGCCCUUUGGUAUUCCGAGGGGCAUGCCUGUUCGAGCGUCAUUGCAAAAAUCUCAAGCCUAGGCUUGGUGUUGGGUCUGCGUCUUCUGCGGGCGAGCCCGAAAAUCAGCGGCGGUGUCUCACCUCGUCUUGGGAGUGCAGUAGGCAUCUACGCACCCCGCAGGUGUAGGUUUAUGGUCACUGGCCAAAACGCAUCAACAACAGCGAUAUUUGACCUCGAAUCAGGUAGGGAUACCCGCUGAACUUAAGCAUAUCAAUAAGCGGAGGA